GACGAACGCUGGCGGCGUGCUUAACACAUGCAAGUCGAACGGUGAAGCUCCAGCUUGCUGGAGUGGAUCAGUGGCGAACGGGUGAGUAACACGUGAGCAACCUGCCCCUGACUCUGGAAUAAGCGCUGGAAACGGCGUCUAAUACUGGAUACGAGAAGGGUCCGCAUGGGCACUUUCUGGAAAGUUUUUCGGUUGGGGAUGGGCUCGCGGCCUAUCAGCUUGUUGGUGAGGUAAUGGCUCACCAACGCGACGACGGGUAGCCGGCCUGAGAGGGCGACCGGCCACACUGGGACUGAGACACGGCCCAGACUCCUACGGGGGGCAGCAGUGGGGAAUAUUGCACAAUGGGCGAGAGCCUGAUGCAGCGACGCCGGGUGAGGGAUGACGGCCUUCGGGUUGGAAACCUCUUUCAGCAGGGAAGAAGCGAAAGUGACGGUACCUGCAGAAGAAGCACCGGCUAACUACGUG
rnacentral:rRNA from 1 species